rnacentral:rRNA from 1 species
GACGAACGCUGGCGGCGUGCUUAACACAUGCAAGUCGAACGGAAAGGCCCUGCUUUUGUGGGGUGCUCGAGUGGCGAACGGGUGAGUAACACGUGAGUAACCUGCCCUUGACUUUGGGAUAACUUCAGGAAACUGGGGCUAAUACCGGAUAGGAGCUCCUGCUGCAUGGUGGGGGUUGGAAAGUUUCGGCGGUUGGGGAUGGACUCGCGGCUUAUCAGCUUGUUGGUGGGGUAGUGGCUUACCAAGGCUUUGACGGGUAGCCGGCCUGAGAGGGUGACCGGCAACAUGGGGACGGGGAUACGGCCCGGACUCCUACGGGAGGAAGCAGUGGGGAAUAUGGCACAAGGGGCGGAAGCCUGAGGCAGGAACGCGGGGGGCGGGAGGACGGCCUUCGGGUGGUAAACCGCUUUCGCCGGGGAGGAAGCGUGAGUGACGGUAAUGGGAAAAGAAGCACCGGCUAACUACGUG